rnacentral:rRNA from 1 species
CCUACGGGGGGCAGCAGUGGGGAAUAUUGGGCAAUGGAGGCAACUCUGACCCAGCAACGCCGCGUGAAUGAUGAAGGUCUUCGGAUUGUAAAGUUCUGUGAUGGGGGAGGAACACAAUGACGGUACCCCAAUAGCAAGUCACGGCUCACUCCGGGCCAGCAGCCGCGGUAAUACGUAGGUGGCAAGCGUUAUCCGGACUGACUGGGCGUAACGGGUGCGUAGGUGGUUUAGUAAGGUGGCGGUGUAAUUCCGGGGCUCACCCUCGGCGCUCCCGCCCAAACUAUUAGACUAGAGUGCAGGAGUGGUAAGUGGACUUCCUAUUGUAGCGGUUGAAUGCGUAGAUAUU